ACAGUGCUGGUUCAGUGGUAGAGUUCUCACCUUCCAUGCAGGAGACCUGGGUUCGAUUCCCAGCCAAUGCA
rnacentral:tRNA from 1 species